AUACGGAGGGUGCAAGCGUUAAUCGGAAUUACUGGGCGUAAAGCGCGCGUAGGCGGAUUGUUAAGUCUCAUGUGAAAGCCCUGGGCUCAACCUGGGAACUGCAUGGGAUACUGGAAAUCUAGAAUACAGUAGAGGGUAGUGGAAUUUCAGGUGUAGCGGUGAAAUGCGUAGAGAUCUGAAGGAACAUCAGUGGCGAAGGCGACUACCUGGACUGAUAUUGACGCUGAGGUGCGAAAGCGUGGGGAGCAAACGGGAUUAGAAACCCCAGUAGUCC
rnacentral:rRNA from 1 species